CCUACGGGAGGCAGCAGUGGGGAAUAUUGCACAAUGGGCGGAAGCCUGAUGCAGCGACGCCGCGUGAGGGAUGAAGGCCUUCGGGUUGUAAACCUCUUUCAGCAGGGACGAAGCGUGAGUGACGGUACCUGCAGAAGAAGCACCGGCUAACUACGUGCCAGCAGCCGCGGUAAUACGUAGGGUGCGAGCGUUGUCCGGAAUUACUGGGCGUAAAGAGUUCGUAGGCGGUUUGUCGCGUCGUUUGUGAAAACCCGGGGUCUCAACUUCGGGCUUGCAGGCGAUACGGGCAGACUUGAGUGUUUCAGGGGAGACUGGGAUUCCUGGUGUAGCGGUGAAAUGCGCAGAUAUCAGGAGGAACACCGGUGGCGAAGGCGGGUCUCUGGGAAACAACUGACGCUGAGGAACGAAAGCGUGGGUAGCAAACAGGAUUAGAUACCCUGGUAGUCCACGCCGUAAACGGUGGCGCUAGGUGUGGGUUCCUUCCACGGGGACGUCUGUGCGUAGCUACGCAUAGUCGCCCGCCGUCGGGAGGUACGGCCGCGACGGACGUAAACCGUUAAACGGUAAAGUUAGACGGCGUGGUAGACGUUGCCGAACGGACGACGACGAGGGGAGGUUAGG
rnacentral:rRNA from 1 species